UCAGCCGGUAGUGGAAUCUUGGAGAAACCC
rnacentral:piRNA from 1 species